AGCGAACGCUGGCGGCAGGCUUAACACAUGCAAGUCGAGCGCCCCGCAAGGGGAGCGGCAGACGGGAGAGUAACACGUGGGAACAUACCUUUUGGUUCGGAACAACUGAGGGAAACUUCAGCUAAUACCGGAUAAGCCCUUACGGGGAAAGAUUUAUCGCCGAAAGAUUGGCCCGCGUCUGAUUAGCUAGUUGGUGAGGUAACGGCUCACCAAGGCGACGAUCAGUAGCUGGUCUGAGAGGAUGAUCAGCCUCACUGGGACUGAGACACGGCCCAGACUCCUACGGGGGGCAGCAGUGGGGAAUAUUGGACAAUGGGGGCAACCCUGAUCCAGCCAUGCCGCGUGAGUGAUGAAGGCCUUAGGGUUGUAAAGCUCUUUUGCCCGGGAAGAUAAUGACGGUACCGGGAGAAUAAGCCCCGGCUAACUUCGUG
rnacentral:rRNA from 1 species